CUCAGAGUCUGCUCCCCGGAAGCUUAAGUUGUGACUCUCGGUACCAGGAGUGGGUGGGCUCCAGAAAGCAGGCGCUAGGACGGGAUUCUGGAGUCGGACCGCGCUCUGCCGGCUGUGGCCGUGAGGACCCCUUCCCCCUUGGUAAGGGCAGCACCGCCCGCGGCACAAGAAGGAGAGCGAAGACCUGAGGAGAAGACGGUCACUAACAUCCAGCUGAGGUCUGGAAAACAGAGCAGAGGGAUCCCAGCCAUGGUUCCCUGACUGUUCAGCAGGAUGAGCUAUGGGAGUUUCCUUCUCCAAAACACCGGAGAACACACCGGAUGAAGUCGGAAGACUGUCGAGUGGAGACCAGGUCCCAAGAGUCCACUGUACUUUGGCCAGCAGGAUUUGAUGUGACAAUCAGGUUCCAUCAUGUUAACAAGGAAUGUCAAAUACGUGUUUUAGUUGAGAACACAGGCUCAAGACUACAACACAGCCAUGAAAGCUGGAGCGGAACACGGCAGCCGGCCACUGUACAGAGAAAUCUUCAGCAAACCCAGAAGGUUAAAACUUCAACAACAUUGUCUUCUGUUGACUGAAGAGGCAGCUCAAUAACAAUGGUCAUACCAACUUAUACAUGCCAGCAAGGAGGAGGAGAAAACAUA